ACAGGAUAGCAUUAUCCAAUGUUCAAAUAUUUAUAGGAUUAAGAUGGGCAUGCGUGUCAUUAGCUAGUAGCGGGGUAACGGCCCACCAAGGCGACGAUGACUAGGGGAUCUGAGAGGAUGACCCCCCACCUGUACUGAGACACGGCCAGACUCCUACGGGAGGCAGCAGUAAGGAAUAUGGUCAAUGGAGGGAACUCUGAACCAGCCAUGCCGCGUGCAGGAUGACGGCCCUCUGGGUUGUAAACUGCUUUUAUUCGGGAAUAAACCUUAUUACGUGUAAUAAGCUGAAUGUACCGAAGGAAUAAGGAUCGGCUAACUCCGUGCCAGCAGCCGCGGUAAUACGGAGGAUCCAAGCGUUAUCCGGAUUUAUUGGGUUUAAAGGGUGCGUAGGCGGCUUAUUAAGUCAGGGGUGAAAGACGGUGGCUCAACCAUCGCAGUGCCCUUGAUACUGAUGAGCUUGAAUACACUAGAGGUAGGCGGAAUGUGACAAGUAGCGGUGAAAUGCAUAGAUAUGUCACAGAACACCGAUUGCGAAGGCAGCUUACUAUGGUGUGAUUGACGCUGAGGCACGAAAGCGUGGGGAUCAAACAGGAUUAGAUACCC
rnacentral:rRNA from 1 species